CCCAUCCAUCAUCUCUGACGUCAGAAAUAGCUUGCGACGACCGGGAGAAGCUGGAACGGCUGUCAAGUUUAAAAGACAUCAUUUUUUGGUAAAGAGCAAGAAGAUAAUGGCUAUAGCCUGCAAAAAAGUGCAUCAUUUGGAAUAGAAGAGGCGUAUAACAUUUUUAAGUACCUUAAUCUUUACAAAGUGAGUACAACUCCACCAGUUUAACCUUGUGUGGAUGAUAUCUACAGUAUCUAUUUUCAUACACUGGAAGUGACAGCAAAAAACAUGACUGAACAGUAUACUUAGAUAAACAUGGAAACUCAUUUGUGGCCCAAAACUGCUCGAAAGAUAAAGAAAAUACAUCAUAAAAUAAAGACUGACUGUGGCGCAGGGCAGUUUACAUGAUAUGCAUAUAUGUUGGCUGAUAAAACGUCCCAGAUUGUUCUUAUUCAAUAUAUAUAGGAGAUGAAAAUGAAUAUAAUCCACUACCUCAUGGUAACUGGAAAAAAACAUAUCCAAUGGACACGUCACACACAUAAGAACCCUGUCAUCACUACUUAAUCAGGUCACAGAAAUAAAAGAUAAUCCUACCAAAAAA